AUUGAACGCUGGCGGCAGGCCUAACACAUGCAAGUCGAACGAGUGGCGGACGGGUGAGUAAUGUCUGGGAAACUGCCUGAUGGAGGGGGAUAACUACUGGAAACGGUAGCUAAUACCGCAUACCCGCAGAUUUGCCCAGAUGGGAUUAGAUUGUUGGUGGGGUAACGGCUCACCAAGGCAACGAGCCCUAGCUGGUAUGAGAGGAUGACCAGCCACACUGGAACGGAGACACGGUCCAGACUCCUACGGGAGGCAGCAGGGGGGAAUAGUGCACAAUGGGCGAAAUCCUGAUGCAGCCAUGCCGCGUGUAUGAAGAAGGCCUUCGGGUUGUAAAGGACUUUCAGCGGGGAGGCGUUACCCGCAGAAGAAGCACCGGCUAACUACGUGCCAGCAGCCGCGGUAAUUC
rnacentral:rRNA from 1 species